AGUCUCUAGAUACUACCCGCAGCCUCAACAUAAAGCUGACCUCCUUUUUUUACUGUGCUUAUGAACAGUUCCUCUUCGUAUGAAUAGGGCCUUUACGAUUUUGCCCUUUCCUUCUGUUUCUGGUCUCUUCCACCGAUGUCUCCGGUUUUGUUUUGGGUUUUGUAAUUAAGCGAUCCUCUUAAGCCCCUCCCCUCCUCUAAAUCAAUAAAUUGGAAAACCUGCAUGCUCUCAUCCUCAAUUGCUAAAUCAAGUUCCAUUGAUUGCGAAGAGGAAAGACAGCGCGGGUAAGCUGCAAGGCGAUGCAAAAACCGAAAGCAGUUCUCUUUAGUUCCUCCCAUUCAGAACCUUACUAUAGAUUCGACAUUGAAAGAUCUUUGCUUGAUCCCGAAGGACUGUGAGAAAGGAAGACAUCUAAUAGAUGCAAAAUAUCAAGUUCAAUUGAAAGGUCUUACUAUGGAUGAACACUUCUCAUAAGAACAGUACCCAAGUUCAUAAGAACUGUUCAUCCAUUUGGCUUCUCAAAUUAACAGCUUUUUCAUCAUUGGGUGCUGCAUAUUAAUCGGUUUCUGAAGCAACGAUGUGGAUGACGAGGAAACAAAGAGGAAAGAAGCAGCCAACAUGGAGGAUCACAAGUAAUUAUGACAAACAACUUUAAUUAUGACAGCAAACUUGGAGAAGGAGGAUUUGAAAGUGUCUACUGGGGUCAGCUUUGGGAUGGAUCACAAGUCAUUAUCAAUACUUUUAGUUUCGUUUUUUAAUUUCAAUCUGAAUCCUCCUGGUUACUCAGUUAAUCUUAACAGUAUAUUUGAAUGA